UACGGAGGGAGCUAGCGUUGUUCGGAAUUACUGGGCGUAAAGCGUACGUAGGCGGUUAUUCAAGUCAGAGGUGAAAGCCCGGGGCUCAACCCCGGAACUGCCUUUGAAACUAGAUAGCUAGAAUCUUGGAGAGGUCAGUGGAAUUCCGAGUGUAGAGGUGAAAUUCGUAGAUAUUCGGAAGAACACCAGUGGCGAAGGCGACUGACUGGACAAGUAUUGACGCUGAGGUACGAAAGCGUGGGGAGCAUACAGG
rnacentral:rRNA from 1 species